UUUUGAGGAAACAAUCGUCUUGUACUACAUCAUGCAGAGUGGAAGAGCUCUAAUUUGCCAGUCUUGUAAUACGUUCUUGGCUGACGUAUACUUCAGUUGCUCUCAAUGUUUCUUCAAGGAUGAUUCAGAUAGCACCUAUGAAAUUUGUUGUGAUUGUUAUGGUGGAAAAAGGUUCACUCACCACGCUGAUGCCAUCUUCUGCGAUAACUAUACUUUACUCAGUCAAAGCAGGAGCUUGGCAGUAAAAGCUCCCGUACAGAAUCGAAGAAAUGUGCUUGAAAAAAUUGUAAUGAUAGUGGAAGUUACAAGCGUGGCUUUUGCUUUAGGCUGUAGCAUCAUGUGAAAGACGUAUGAUGCAUUUUAUCGUCAUUGUGUUUCAAUUUUAUUAGAAUUUUGUGAAGGGUGAAACUUGAAUUGCUUGCUUGUGGAAGACUAUUAUUGCUGAAGCAAUGAAAAACUUCAACUACAUUGAACUUUUCACGAGCUGUGAUCAUUAGCUAGUGUAUUAGGGGAAUAUUAUGUAUUCUAGCUGUUUGAACUCGUAGGAUUGUUAAAUGAUUGUUUGUGGCUUACUAAAUUUAUUGCAUAAGAGCUUGUGAUUCCUAGAA